GAGCUGGGAUUCCAAAGAAGAGCAGGGUUUGUAGGAGGAGCAGGAUAAGGAUAAGCAGACCUUUUGAGGAGGAGCAAGGCACUAUAUGCAGAAACAGAGCUUGUAGGAGGAGCAGGGCUUCCUAAGAGGAUCAAAAGUUCUUUGCAGGAACAGGUCUUUUUAGGGAGGAGAGGCUUUUGUAGUGGAGGUGCUUCCUGAGGAGCAGUUGGGCUUUGAAGAGGGAGCAGGUUCUGUAGGGAUGAGUGGGGCUUUGUAAGGAGGAGCAGGGCUUCUUAGAAGGAGAACUGUGUAAGGAAGGCUGGGCUCUGUAAAGAGGAACAGGGCUUUGCUGGUUUCUACUGGUAGUGAUCGCUGCAUAUUUGUCCUCUCCAGGCAUUAUUCUCUAUUUGAUUGCUAGUGGCAAAUCCUGGCACUGCAAAGUCCACGGCAAGGGUUGGGGUGCCAAGUGGGGUUGUACAUGGCUUCCAGCAAAAUACUACCUGCAUGUUCCCCAGCCACACGAAGAGCAGAGUGACUCCCAAGCUUCUCAUGCCUGGCCUGAGUGCAAGACCCCUCUUUCCCUUUCCAAACCAGUGAAAAGAUAAGUGCUGAGCCUGUGUGGACAACACACUUCUAAGACCUAAAGCAACUGUGACCUCUUUUUGCAAAUGUAGGGUAUGGCAGACAUUAGCAGGUCACAAAACUUUCCUCUUCCUCCUUGGGAUGUGGCUUCACUAGGUCCUCCGGCCUUGCUUGCUGUUAGGUGAGGCCAUGUGCUGGCCAGUGACAUGUGAUGAAAGCAAUGUGUGCUACAUGUUCCAGCACUUCCCAUGCACAGUCCUCCACAUUCUUUCCCAUUCUGCAGCAGCCUUGAAGAGAGUGGAGCUCAAAUACAGAAGGAAGCCAAAUUCUGCUCAGAGGAAAGCUGCUUUCCCUAUCUCACCGAAG
rnacentral:lncRNA from 10 species